AGAUCAUCACUGGGUUUAAAGGGUGCGCAGGCGGUUUUGUAAGACAGAGGUGAAAUCCCCGGGCUCAACCUGGGAACUGCCUUUGUGACUGCAAGGCUGGAGUGCGGCAGAGGGGGAUGGAAUUCCGCGUGUAGCAGUGAAAUGCGUAGAUAUGCGGAGGAACACCGAUGGCGAAGGCAAUCCCCUGGGCCUGCACUGACGCUCAUGCACGAAAGCGUGGGGAGCAAACA
rnacentral:rRNA from 1 species